AAGGGUCCAAAUAUUUAUGUCAAUGCAAGAUUUUAAUUUCCUUUUCAAUAAAUGAUAAAAGAUUCUGUUAUCACUGUCUCAUUGUGGGGGAUUGAGUGCAGAAUAAUUGGGAAAAAAUGACAACUUUCGUUUUAUCACAAGGCCGCACCAUAACAAAAUGUGAAAAAAAAACACGAAUUCGCAAUGCAUUGUAACCAACUUUUCUGCAAUUUAAAACAUUCCCUACUAAACUUAAGUGUUUAAUGCGCCAGAGAGCAGAGGUGGCGCUGUAGUCGAACAGUGGUUUCUGUAUUAUGUCAUUUUGGGUCCAUUCACACGUCCGUAGUGUAUUGCGGAUCCGCAAUACACCCGGCUGGCACCCCCAUAGAACUGCCUAUUCUUGUCCGCAUCUUUUCUGUCCCUAUAGAGAAUGAAUGGGUCGGCACCCGUUCUGCAAAAUUGCAGAACGGAUGCGGAUGUGUGAAUGACCCUUUAAGUGGUUCUUGGUGUAGGACUGGUAACGGCAAACACAGAAACAUCUCUCCUCACCGUAUAAACUGAAACACCUUCUAGCGCUGGCCAGCAGCUUAUAGUAUGGCCGUGGAAGACACUGGGGUGGAUUUAUUAACGCCAUUUGUGUGGUGUAAAAAAGUUGCCACAUUUGUGACUCACACCAGAAAAGUGGCAAGAAAAUGUGGCAGGACCUGCCGAGCCCCACCAUAUUUACCAUCAUUUACACCAGUAACUGGUGGCGUAGAUCUGAAUUUUCCGCGCAUAGACUGCCACAAGGGGCGGCUGUUAUUUUUGGCACAUCUGACUCCAGCGGUCUAUUUACCAAGACAGGCGUACGAUAUGCCCAUCUUAGUAAAUCUGGCCCAGUGAUUAAGAGAUUGUAACAGUUGGUUAUAGACAGAGGGGGAGGAGAUUGCACCAGUCUGAUAAAAGGAAAACUGGCUUAAAUUGCCCAUAGCAACCAAUCAGAUUCCACCUUUCAUUUUUCAGAGCUCCUUUGGAAAAUGAAAGGACCAAUCCGAUUGGCUGCUAGGGGCAAUUAAGCCAGUUUUCCUUUGCUUAGGUCUUGAUAAAUCUCCCCAUAGUUUCCAUUUGUUUCUGUCCUCCCUUAGCACAAAAUGGACUGUAACAGACAUU